rnacentral:rRNA from 1 species
CCUACGGGGGGCAGCAGUGAGGAAUAUUGGUCAAUGGACGAGAGUCUGAACCAGCCAAGUAGCGUGAAGGAUGACUGCCCUCUGGGUUGUAAACUUCUUUUAUAUGGGAAUAAAAUGUUCCAUGUGUGGGAUUUUGUAUGUACCAUAUGAAUAAGGAUCGGCUAACUCCGUGCCAGCAGCCGCGGUAAUACGGAGGAUCCGAGUGUUAUCCGGAUUUAUUGGGUUUAAAGGGAGCGUAGGUGGAUUGUUAAGUCAGUUGUGAAAGUUUGCGGCUCAACCGUAAAAUUGCAGUUGAGACUGGCAGUCUUGAGUACAGUAGAGGUGGGCGGAAUUCGUGGUGUAGCGGUGAAAUGCUUAGAUAUCACGAAGAACUCCGAUUGCGAAGGCAGUUCACUGGACUGCAACUGACACUGAGGCUCGAAAGUGUGGGUAUCAAACAGGAUUAGAUACCCCUGUAGUC